rnacentral:lncRNA from 1 species
AUAUCUAGGUUAUGAUCUCUACUGUCUAUAUGUAGAUAUCUAGGUAGAUCUCUACUAUCUAUAUGUAGAUAUCUAGGUUAUGAUCUCUACUGUCUAUAUGUAGAUCUCUACUGACUAUAUGUAGAUAUCUAGGUUAUGAUCUCUACUGUCUAUAUGUAGACAUCUAGGUUGAUCUCUACUGUCUAUAUGUAGAUAUCUAGGUUGAUCUCUGUCUAUAUGUAGAUAUCUAGGUUAUGAUCUCUGUCUAUAAGUAGAUAUCUAGGUAAAUCUCUGCUGUCUAUAUGUAGAUAUCUAGGUAAAUCUCUACUGUCUAUAUGUAGAUAUCUAGGUUGAUCUCUACUGUCUAUAUGUAGAUAUCUAGGUUGAUCUCUACUGUCUAUGUAGAUAUCUAGGUAGAUCUCUACUGUCUAUA